UCCCCCUGAUCCCAUCGCGGCUGCUGCCUACCCCGCCUACUACCGGCGCGCCACCACUGAGCACUCCCGCCUCCUUCCGGCACGCCUCGUCCCCGCCUCCUACCGGCGCGCCGCCGGACCUGCCCUCUUCCCUGGUGCACCGCCAAACCCCAGCUCCUCCGCGUGCCACCGCCUCCCCGUGCGCCGCGCUCCGCCGCCCGCCGCUGUGGUCGAGCUUCUCCACCGCCGCCUCGGCCACCUCCGCCAUCGCCUGCCCCAACAACCUCCAUCGUCGCCCUCCGCCCCGUCCACCUACGUGCUAGCCGCACCCAACCUCUCCUCCGGCAUGGCCCGUCUUCUUCUCCCACCCGCUCUCCUACAACGUGGCCACACUCUGCUCCAGCGCGCUCUUCACCAUGGGGGUGCCGCUGGCCUUUGCGCUGCACGGUAGUUCAACUCGAUCGUGUGCGCAAGUCCACCAAUGGUAGCCACAGCCCCGCGCCUCCGCGGUAUGCACCCGACAUGGCCCUCCAGCCUGCGCUACUUUCCAUGCUACCUCGCGUGCGUGUAAACUGCAGCAGCUGCUCUCGUCUUUAGUUAGCUAGCGCCAUCCUCUGCCACGCCCCAUCUUCAGUUAGCUAGCGUCAUCCUACGCUGCACCUUGCGCCGGCUCGAGCAACCCCAUGGAGCAGCUUGCGAACUCCUCUACUGCCCCAACCUAGCCAACUCCCCACCUGCUCCAUCCUCCCGAGUGGCAGGCAGGCCAUUCUGACGCUGCUCCUCCUUGUUGUGCAGAGUAUAAAUGGCAGGGGACAUACAGAGGUGCUAUGGGAGUGACGAGUGAGCCUACAUUUUCCUUUCAUCGUUGCUCCAAUCAUCGUUCGUAGCUGAAAAACGUGUCGUUAAUGAAAGCAAACUGAACCUUAGGGGCCGCCGCCUCAGGCCGUCAAGUACGCGGCAACCGGAGGUUCGCAGUCGCAGCGACCCCGAAUCCCACCGCUCCCGUGCCAACUAAGAAGGAUCUAGGCCUCGACAAAUCAAACUUCACCAUACUCUAGAACAAAAAGAUGAGCAACAUGGAGGAGCUACACAAAAACGACGCCGACGUUGCCCAUAGACUGCCGUGGUGUCCAUGUCGAGGUCAAGUGCCAUCCCAUUGCUCGACAACCCUCUUGGAGUCCGGCACUGCUUGGUGUUGCCGUCGUUUAUGUCAAUCGUGAAACAGAGCAGAGUUUUUGUCGUACGCUUUAUUGUCCUUAGAGUACGAUAUAUCAUUCUCCAUCCCCUUGGAAUGUUCAGCAUUCUGAAUGAUCAGAACAAAAACAAUAUAAAAUUAGUGUGAUGCUACUUAUUCAUGUUGGUACCAAGCUUGAUGAUGUAUUGGUGUGCUACACUUGAUGAUGGGUUGUGCAUGUAGCA